GGUGAUAUAGCUUAGAUGCAUAGCAUUUGCCUAGCAUGUACAAGGCCCUGGGUUCCAUUCCCAGCACCA
rnacentral:tRNA from 1 species